CUAGCUCUUCAGCCUGCCGACCCACCAUUCUUCCUAACAGAUGUUUUAUUUCUCCCCACAAAGGAAAGUUUAGAGGGUUUCUUCUGCCUGGCUCUACACUGCUAACCUUGAAGGUGGAAGGCCAGGGCCCUGCAGACACUGAGGGAGUCAAGGUGCCAUUCCUCCACUAAGGUGUGAGGCUUCAGAAAGAAAGCAGGUUGCAUCAGGUUAGCAGGAGACGUCAUUAGAGGCUGAGCCACAGGAUCCUACAAACAAAAGAAUGGCAAAGACGUUAAUCGCAUGAGUUAACCAUGAUUAAUCGACAGCCCUAUUUCAUUGUGAAUGCAAAAAUUCCAGAAAGACAGUCUGUCGGGAGGCUGUCAAGCUGAUCUGCCCCUCUUCUCUCCCCUUCCCCUCAGAUCUUGAGCUUGCAAGGGACACAGAUGUGCACCUCAGCCCAAGGAAGAUGUGUCCAUGACCGGAGUCAUAGUAGGAAGGGAAGAGGAGGAGACAAAGAGACGUCAAACUGGACUCUCCACUAGUUCGAGAAAGAUGGCACACUUGCAGGUCUGUGAAUUAAUGCAUCCAGAGGGUGAGUUAAUGGACAGCAGAUGAAUUUUAACCAGCCUUAAAGACAUCUCAGGUAUAGCUUGGCAUGCUGAGUCACCUACAUGCAAGCGGCCACAUGUCCUAAAAGUUGCAUCCAGUUUCUCAUCAUUGUUUGUGGAUAAGGUUAGAGGAAACUGCAUAAUUCCAGGAUCACUUGAAAGCUGACC